rnacentral:lncRNA from 1 species
CAAGCAAGUCCGUGCAAACAGAGAAGCAACUAUUGAAUGAAUUCUUGACAGAAAGCCUGAAAGGAAAGACCAUGCUAGUUUGAAAAGUCUGACUUGCCCAACUAGAAAAAGAGUAUGUUUUUUCUAAGAAGAGUAGCUAUCAAAAGGCAGGUCUCUUUGAAUCUUCUAUCUUUCUUUAUCUCCAUUGAGAAGAUUGACGCCAGUCGAGCAUAAAGCAUAACUAUC